UUCAAGUGAGCUGUUGCGCGCAGGUGCCUCUGAAUACGCUUCGACGUCCAAUCAUGGCGGGAGAGCAGACCUGCUGCUCAACACAUAAGCCAUAGUCAACAAGAAGCGUCUGACGCCAGUUCGGGAAGCAGAAAAUGCUCCCACGAUGCACUUCGGAAUGACUCCAACUUGGUUCCUGGAAAAAUGGCGCUUGGGGAACAGUUCAAAAGAGGACACUGCACAGUUCAUCCAAAGUCAGGCUAUUGCGGCUCGGUCGAGGUAGAAUAUCACAUUGAAGUCAGCACCACCCGUCUCUCUUUGCCAAAUUCAAGAACUCUACCGGCGGCUGGUUGCCAUGCCAACUGACUGCAGUUGGCAUGGAAACAGGUUAAGGCGGACCUCGUAGAGGAGGAUGCGCCACGGACACGAAUAGAGACACGAGUGUAGUCUGCAGCUCCGGGGGAGGACGACACUGAACCCGAACAACUUUCCACCAAGCAGUUUAGAUUUCCGUUUGGAAGAGAACGUUCGGCAUCUUGAAUUUGUAGACGGGGAUCACCUUACGUACCGUGAGUACUCCUAUGCAAGUCAUGCCGGUGGGUGCAUUCUGAUCGGGGUAGCCUAGUCUUCCUCAUCUUCGGCAACCUCCCGAGGCGUUUCCAGGCUGGCUGAGGGACAAAACCUCCCUUCAGCCCCGAAGUCUCCUUCUGGUAGGAUAUACCCCUGAACACCAGUGAGUCCCCUCGGAGUCAUCCCAAAUAAAGCCCGAGCCGGACAUCCAGAUGACCAAGGCCCAACCCUCUGCAGGUGCCUCAUUGCAGUCGCGUGCGAUGUAGUCUUUGGUCUGUCCUGAGGUCUUCUCCUUGUUGGAUGUUCCCGAGAACACAAUUCCUCACAGCUGAAGAAAUAAAUGCCUGAUUUAACCAAA